ACGAACGCUGGCGGCGUGGAUAAGACAUGCAAGUCGAACGAGAGAAUUGCUAGCUUGCUAAUAAUUCUCUAGUGGCGCACGGGUGAGUAACACGUGAGUAACCUGCCCCCGAGAGCGGGAUAGCCCUGGGAAACUGGGAUUAAUACCGCAUAGUAUCGAAAGAUUAAAGCAGCAAUGCGCUUGGGGAUGGGCUCGCGGCCUAUUAGUUAGUUGGUGAGGUAACGGCUCACCAAGGCGAUGACGGGUAGCCGGUCUGAGAGGAUGUCCGGCCACACUGGAACUGAGACACGGUCCAGACACCUACGGGUGGCAGCAGUCGAGAAUCAUUCACAAUGGGGGAAACCCUGAUGGUGCGACGCCGCGUGGGGGAAUGAAGGUCUUCGGAUUGUAAACCCCUGUCAUGUGGGAGCAAAUUAAAAAGAUAGUACCACAAGAGGAAGAGACGGCUAACUCUGUGCCAGCAGCCGCGGUAAUACAGAGGUCUCAAGCGUUGUUCGGAAUCACUGGGCGUAAAGCGUGCGUAGGCUGUUUCGUAAGUCGUGUGUGAAAGGCGCGGGCUCAACCCGCGGACGGCACAUGAUACUGCGAGACUAGAGUAAUGGAGGGGGAACCGGAAUUCUCGGUGUAGCAGUGAAAUGCGUAGAUAUCGAGAGGAACACUCGUGGCGAAGGCGGGUUCCUGGACAUUAACUGACGCUGAGGCACGAAGGCCAGGGGAGCGAAAGGGAUUAGAUACCCCUGUAGUCCUGGCAGUAAACGGUGCACGCUUGGUGUGCGGGGAAUCGACCCCCUGCGUGCCGGAGCUAACGCGUUAAGCGUGCCGCCUGGGGAGUACGGUCGCAAGAUUAAAACUCAAAGAAAUUGACGGGGACCCGCACAAGCGGUGGAGUAUGUGGCUUAAUUCGAUGCAACGCGAAGAACCUUACCUGGGCUUGACAUGUAAUGAACAACAUGUGAAAGCAUGCGACUCUUCGGAGGCGUUACACAGGUGCUGCAUGGCCGUCGUCAGCUCGUGUCGUGAGAUGUUUGGUUAAGUCCAGCAACGAGCGCAACCCCUGUUGCCAGUUACCAGCACGUGAAGGUGGGGACUCUGGCGAGACUGCCCAGAUCAACUGGGAGGAAGGUGGGGACGACGUCAGGUCAGUAUGGCCCUUAUGCCCAGGGCUGCACACGUACUACAAUGCCCAGUACAGAGGGGGCCGAAGCCGCGAGGCGGAGGAAAUCCUGAAAACUGGGCCCAGUUCGGACUGUAGGCUGCAACCCGCCUACGCGAAGCCGGAAUCGCUAGUAAUGGCGCAUCAGCUACGGCGCCGUGAAUACGUUCCCGGGUCUUGUACACACCGCCCGUCACAUCAUGGAAGCCGGUCGCACCCGAAGUAUCUGAAGCCAACCGCAAGGAGGCAGGGUCCUAAGGUGAGACUGGUAACUGGGAUG
rnacentral:rRNA from 1 species